rnacentral:misc_RNA from 1 species
GAUGAAGAACGUAGCAAAAUGCGAUACUUGGUGUGAAUUGCAGAAUCCCGUGAACCAUCGAGUUUUUGAACGCAAGUUGCGCCCGAAGCCUUUUGGCCGAGGGCACGUCUGCCUGGGCGUCACGCAUCGUGUCGCUCCCCACAAAUUCUCCGUCAGGGGAGCUUGUGUUUCGGGGGCGGAUACUGGUCUCCCGUGCUCAUGGCGCGGUUGGCCGAAAUAGGAGUCCCUUCGAUGGACGCACGAACUAGUGGUGGUCGUAAAAACCCUCGUCUUUUGUUUCGUGCCGUUAGUCGCGAGGGAAGCUCUUCAAAAACCCCAACGCGUCGUCUCUUGACGGCGCUUCGACCGCGACCCCAGGUCAGGCGGGACUACCCGCUGAGUUUAAGCAUAUCAAUAAGCGGAGGA